GUAGGCUUGGGACUUGUUCUAUGUUGACAUUGGAGACAUCACCUUUGAAUUUGUUGUGCAAAGAUGGCUUAUAGUGCUUUUACUUCAAAUUCUACCCAACUAUCUCCAUUUCACAAGUGUAUGGGUCCCUCUAUUGGCUUCCAGAGUAUUCUAGGAUUUAGUACCCCAAGCUCAAGAAUAUUUGCACUGCCUUUUCUCUUUGUUCCUAGCACUGCCUUUUUCUCUGUUUCUAGCACCAACUCAUUU
rnacentral:misc_RNA from 1 species